rnacentral:rRNA from 1 species
AUUGAACGCUGGCGGCAGGCCUAACACAUGCAAGUCGAACGAGUGGCGGACGGGUGAUUAAUGUCUGGGAAACUGCCUGAUGGAGGGGGAUAACUACUGGAAACGGUAGCUAAUCCCGCAUACCAUCAGAUGUGCCCAGAUGGGAUUAGCUUGUUGGUGGGGUAACGGCUCACCCAGGCGACGAGCCCUAGCUGGUCUGAGAGGAUGACCAGCCACACUGGAACGGAGAUGCGGUCCAGACUCCUACGUGAGGCAGCAGUGGGGAUUAUUGCACAAUGGGCGCAAGCCUGAUGCAGCCAUGCCGGGUGUAUGAAGAAGGCCUUCGGGUUGUAAAGUACUUUCAGCGGGGAGGCGUUACCCGCCGAAGAAGCACCGGCUAACUCCGUGCCAGCCGCCGCGGUAAUUC